rnacentral:rRNA from 1 species
GAUGAACGCUGGCGGCGUGCCUAAUACAUGCAAGUCGAGCGAACAGAUGAGGAGCUUGCUCCUCUGACGUUAGCGGCGGACGGGUGAGUAACACGUGGAUAACCUACCUAUAAGACUGGGAUAACUUCGGGAAACCGGAGCUAAUACCGGAUAAUAUAUUGAACCGCAUGGUUCAAUAGUGAAAGACGGUUUUGCUGUCACUUAUAGAUGGAUCCGUGCCGCAUUAGCUAGUUGGUAAGGUAACGGCUUACCAAGGCAACGAUGCGUAGCCGACCUGAGAGGGUGAUCGGCCACACUGGAACUGAGACACGGUCCAGACUCCUACGGAAGGCAGCAGUAGGGAAUCUUCCGCAAUGGGCGAAAGCCUGACGGAGCAACGCCGCGUGAGUGAUGAAGGUCUUCGGAUCGUAAAACUCUGUUAUUAGGGAAGAACAAAUGUGUAAGUAACUAUGCACGUCUUGACGGUACCUAAUCAGAAAGCCACGGCUAACUACGUG